GGACUACAGGGGUUUCUAAUCCUGUUUGCUCCCCACGCUUUCGCUCCUCAGCGUCAGUACCGGCCCAGAGUGCCGCCUUCGCUACGGGUGUUCCUCCCGAUCUCUGCGCAUUUCACCGCUACACCGGGAAUUCCACACUCCCCUACCGGACUCGAGUCACGACAGUAUCGAACGGCCCCUCCACGUUGAGCGUGGAGAUUUCACGUCCGACUUAUCGAACCGCCUACGAGCUCUUUACGCCCAAUAAAUCCGGACAACGCUCGCCCCCUACGUAUUACCGCGGCUGCUGGCAC
rnacentral:rRNA from 1 species